rnacentral:rRNA from 1 species
UACAGAGGGUGCAAGCGUUGUUCGGAAUUAUUGGGCGUAAAGCGCGUGUAGGCGGCUUUGCAAGUCGGGUGUGAAAUCCCUCAGCUUAACUGAGGAAGUGCGCCCGAAACUGCAGAGCUUGAGUACCGGAGAGGAUGGCGAAAUUCCCCAAGUAGAGGUGAAAUUCGUAGAUAUGGGGAGGAACACCGGUGGCGAAGGCGGCCAUCUGGACGGAUACUGACGCUGAGGUGCGAAAGCGUGGGGAGCAAACAGG